rnacentral:lncRNA from 1 species
CUCAACUAGCUCAGCAGCUCUUUAUGACCUCUGGCACAGACAGCAAAUUCCUUCCAGCUCAGCUCGUGGAGCUGGGCUCUGUACUGCCUUAAAACCAGCCCCGGCUCCUCAAUUACCUUCUGCCCUUAUUCAUGCCCUGCCAAUUCCUUUUUGCUGGAAUCUGAAUGAAGCCACUGCAUAUGCCAAGGCUGAGAAUCGCUUGAGAGGACUUAUGGGCCUUUUCCUUGAAGGAAAAGAUGGCACUUGGAACUUGGCCGGUGGAAGCAUCAUUCAGAUAUGAUUCAUUACAGGUAAGAGAAAGAAGACAGGAAUCUGCAGAAGAAAUCUUCCCAUAAGUCUGAUAUUUCUGGAAAAGGGGACAGAGUUGUCUGCUCUUUGUGACUUAGACUGGGCCAGUGCCGAAAUCACAAGUCCACAGAGUAUGCCUGAAGGAAGAUGGUUCUCAAUGCACCCACUGGGAAAAUGCACUCAUCCUCAAAUGACUGAGGCCGUUGUUUCCUUGCCUUUUAAGAUCUCAUCCCAGGAGGGAUUCUUCUCACUUUCUUUCAGUCCUGAACUCAGAGGAUUGUGCUGCUUAGGGAAGCCACCUCAUUAGGACAACUCAUUUUCCCUUCUCUCUAGUAGAGGUUACUGCCACAAGCUGAACACAGUGAAAAAUAAACUGUGAACUUGAAGAGGGAGGAGGGAAGGUGGAGGUGUUUAUCUCAAGCUUAAGAGAAGUUCUGCAAAAGGCGUUUUUUAGUUUGCCCAGUUUCAUUUCUUUAAUCCCUGGUUUCUCUGUGGUUUUGCUGUAUGCUUGCCCAGACACGUCACAUGCACCAGCCUUAUAACUAGAAAAGUCUCUGGCCUCACAAGAAGAGGGAGAUCUCCCUGAAAAUAAUCUCCGAAGGGUUGGUCUGGAGCAGGAAAUGAGAGUGAAAGGCACAUCUGUAGGAGGGGUUCCGCUUGCUCACACUCGGAAUGUGCUCGCCCUCUCCUCCUCUCUUUGAUGACAGGAAGUGCACAUACUCCAAGCUCCAUUUCCUCAAUGUCCCAGGUGAAAUUAUCCCCGGAGAGAGGGAUAACCCUAACUAUUAAAAAGAUGUAUGCUUGAUUCAAUGUUCCAAAUAAUAUUCAGCACAAACGAAUCUCUGGACACCUAAGCUGUAAUAGACCAUGAGAUUUGGAAGAGGAUGAGGAAGAGUACUAUCCAAGGAACCGGCUAUCAUCACAAAUUCUGCAGACUCAGACACCUCUCGACAGCAUGUCUCCAACAACCCCGCCCCCCAUUCAGAGCCACUCUUCCGGAAAUCAACUCACAGUUCACCUCCUGUCUAAAUUCUGGUGUAGAAAUGGAAACCUCUUGUAAGAUGUCAUAGAUAUUUUGGCUGAAUCAUCAGCAGAAGUUCUUGUCCAUCCCUUAGACUUAGGAUGGCCUGGUUAGUAUGGUUUGAUGGGACAAAGCUUGAAUACCAUGACCAGAAGCAUUUCUGUGUUCUCCUGUCUAAGGGCAGUGAAGAGACAUGUGGUCUAGGACAUGUAUGACAACUCUGCUCCAUGAAGCCAUCUAGGCACCUAGACUCCUUCUGUCUUGUCACCAUACCAUCCAGACGAUCUCCACAUUUGAUGAUUAAAGCCAGCUCAUUAGUACCACUUCCAGCUCGUGGCAAGAGGAAGGAGAGAGGUAUUUGUUAUGUCUCAGGAAAGCUGGAUGACUAUCUCAUUCUCUGAUGAUGGAGAAGAAUACUCACAACCUGCUCCCCACCUCCCACUGUGAAAUGCCAAUAUGGUGGAAACAGAAGGGAGAAGAAAGAACAGCGGAGACACUGAUCAUUCGAAACCAAAGAAGCAGCUCAUGCAUAAUGGAGAGCUAUCUGCAUGCAAAUUGCUAGGAGUACUUCCUACUUUUCUGGGAUAUUGUAUUUAGCCCUCUGUACUCUAUUCAGAAGAGUUCUGUUCCCCAGGCCAAGAAGGUAAAAUGUGGAUUGUACUUGAAUAGUCUUGUGAAUGAAAAAUGGCUAAAUUCUUUUUAUUAAGUGGAAUAAUCAAACUGGCAGAGUAAUUUCCCUAAAUUUAAAUUCCCAUUACAGAGAAAAGACACACUCUUGCCCACUUAUGGCCUCUGUUCUUUAUCACAUGCUUUCUCCCUAGCUGCAGAAGCCUAGAAGAACCUUGUUCAAUGGAUUGUCACAGAGAGAGCCGAAGGCAUGGCCACAGAAAGUAGGGCACAGGGAGAAGCUAACUCCCUAAUUUCUUUUUCUUUUUUCAGUUGAGAUAUACAUGAUGCUUUCUUGAUCUUUUGCUCUGUUUCCACCAGUUGUAUUAUAUAUGCAUAUAAAAUGUCCAUUUAAAAUACCAUACAGUUUGUGCCAGACUAGUCCAUUUUCACUAUCUUCUGAUCUCUCAUAGACAGAAUAUUAAAAUCCAAGAAGGAUUUAGCUCAGUGCACAUGUUGCCACUGGUAACCCAUGGUAAUAAGGUAACCCUAUAUAUUCACA